rnacentral:rRNA from 1 species
GACGAACGCUGGCGGCGUGCUUAACACAUGCAAGUCGAACGGUGACCUUAAGAGCUUGCUCUUGAGUGAUCAGUGGCGAACGGGUGAGUAACACGUGAGUAACCUGCCCCAGACUCUGGAAUAACACCUGGAAACAGGUGCUAAUACCGGAUACGACACGAACAGGCAUCUGUAUCGUGUGGAAAGAUUUAUCGGUCUGGGAUGGACUCGCGGCCUAUCAGCUUGUUGGUGAGGGAAUGGCUCACCAAGGCGACGACGGGUAGCCGGCCUGAGAGGGGGAGCGGCCGCACUGGGACUGGGACACGGCCCAGACUCCUACGGGAGGCAGCAGUGGGGAAUAUUGCACAAUGGGCGCAAGCCUGAUGCAGCGACGCCGCGUGAGGGAUGACGGCCUUCGGGUUGUAAACCUCUUUCAGUAGGGAAGAAGCGAAAGUGACGGUACCUACAGAAGAAGCACCGGCUAACUACGUGCCAGCAGCCGCCGUAAUAC